AGGGAUCUUGCAGCCGUCAGAAGCUCAGAUUUAAGAAGUCUCUGCAGGAUACGGAGCAGGCAGCAGGAGUUGUCAGCGCACGGAAUACAGAGUGGUUCCCGGGUCACGAUGGGGUGUGGAGGCGGGGGUGGGGGGAGAUGGUCCAGAGAAAGAUGGUCCAGAGAAAGAGGGGCAGAUUUGGAGAAGUCUUUGGAGAGGAUCACUGGCCAAGUGGAAGAGGCGGAUGAAGAGCUCCCUGGGUGUGCUGCUGACCAAGGCAGAUCUGGAGGCAGAGUCAAAGCAACAGUCGGCAAUCGGGCAAUUUAUGAAGACGUUGAAGGAAGGAGUUGACACACGGAUUCAGUCAGAAAUUUCAAAGAGAGUAGAGUGAAAAGAAGGGUUUGGUGAAAAGAUUCAGGCAUUCCUGGUGGAGGUGACAUAGUGGAGCAGGACAUCUACCAGAAGUCCCGGGGCUAUGGUCCAUGAGCUUGGCCCUGGCGGAGUGAGGCCAGUGCAGCCUGGCUCCGCUGCAGGAGAUGCCAAGACAAGGCUGCCCUCUCUGGAACAAAAGUGACCUCAUUUCUCAGGUACUGCUGGGGACUGCCGGCCAAUUGCCAAUUUUGCCUCUCCUUCACUCAAUGAAGAAGUGUUUGUCUUUGCAAAUACAGGAAGCGCUCUUUUUUGUUUUCUCCUUGUGUUGUUGAGGCUUUGCUGUCCAGGAGUGGUUUCUGGGGAGGGCCACCCCAUCCAAUGUCCCCACCUUUUUUGACCUUUGGGUGCUUUAUUUGGGCUGGUGAGAACUCUCUUUUGUCCUGGGGGCAGUUCUGAGCUUAUAGGCCACUGAGGUCUUCAUAUACAACAGGGCCUAUUCCUUUUGUGAUUGGGUAGUCCCACCAACUGUAACACCAGAAUCAUCAGGAGGUAGAGCCCAAUCAGGAGAGCUGGGAAUGAAUGGCUCAGAACCGGUGUUUGGCACACAUGUAGGACAAGCAUUCUUCAUGUGUCUUAUUUUGAACAGCUGUCUGGAUUGUUGUCUCACAGGUUUUGGCAUUAUGUGACCCCCACAUCCCCAAUUCUGUCCUGCUACAGGCCGUAAGAUUUCAGGGGGACCAUUCCCAGGGUGGUACCUGUGGUUGAUAUAUGAACUUCCUUGUCCCCCACAAAUCUCCACAGGGUUCAAACCCAGUGUUGAAUGAGUCUCUGUUUGAAAUUAGAUUAGAACCACCACUUGGGAAGGGCAAAGAGCAGACAGCCUCAACAGUGGUGGAGCCAACCAUGAACUUCUCAGGAGUGACCUGUGCUUCCUUCAAGGCAGUUUCUGUUAUGUGUAUCCUUCUAAGACCUGCAUUUCUUUCAAGACUGAUCCUGUCCAUUUUGUAGCCCAUUUUUCUUCAUUAACAAUAAAACCAAUUGUGAGCACCAAAGAGCAAGCAGAAGA
ensembl:lncRNA novel transcript